rnacentral:rRNA from 1 species
UGGGUAACCUGCCCAAGAGACUGGGAUAACACCUGGAAACAGAUGCUAAUACCGGAUAACAACACUAGACGCAUGUCUAGAGUUUAAAAGAUGGUUCUGCUAUCACUCUUGGAUGGACCUGCGGUGCAUUAGCUAGUUGGUAAGGUAACGGCUUACCAAGGCAAUGAUGCAUAGCCGAGUUGAGAGACUGAUCGGCCACAUUGGGACUGAGACACGGCCCAAACUCCUACGGAAGGCAGCAG